UUCAAGCAUAUUAAUAAGCGGAGGAAAAGAAACUAACAAGGAUUCCCCUAGUAAUGGCGAAUGAAGCGGGAACAGCUCAAAUUUGAAAUCUCCGUCGCUUGCGACGGCGAAUUGUAGUUUCGAGAAGCACUUUCUCGGCGGACCCGGCUUCGUCCAAGUUGCUUGGAAGAGCACGUCAGAGAGGGUGAGAACCCCGUCUGUGGCGUGGCCGGCCGCUCACGAUGUGUUUUCGACGAGUGGGUUGCUUGGG
rnacentral:rRNA from 1 species